rnacentral:misc_RNA from 1 species
UUAACUAUUAUAUAGUACUCAGACGACACUAAUAUUCAGGGUUGGGGGUCCUCUGGCGAGCACUCACCAGCCGAAGCCGGUGGCCGAGGCGGCUCGCCAAAGCAACAAAGGGUAUAACAACAUAGGGUUGGAGAGUCACCCGUGAGGGCGAUGUUCUCUGUAAUGAUCCCUCCGCAGGUUCACCUACGGAGA